rnacentral:rRNA from 1 species
ACGAUCAACGUAGAAAUACGUGGCAAACGGCUCAGUAACACGUCGUCAACAUGCCCAGGGGACGUGGAUAACCUCGGGAAACUGAGGAUAAACCACGAUAGGCCAUGAUUUCUGGAAUGGUUCAUGGCCGAAAUCUAUAUGGCCCCUGGAUUGGACUGCGGCCGAUCAGGCUGUUGGUGAGGUAAUGGCCCACCAAACCUGUAACCGGUACGGGCUCUGAGAGGAGGAGCCCGGAGAUGGGCACUGAGACAAGGGCCCAGGCCCUAUGGGGCGCAGCAGGCGCGAAAUCUCUG